rnacentral:misc_RNA from 1 species
GGCCCUGGCUGCGGCCGACGCCGCGGAAGUUGAAACGCAGCACCGAAAAGCCGCGCGCCACGAACGCGUAAUAAACCUGAUACACGAUCGGGUGGUUCAUAUUGCCCUGGAACUGCGGAUGCGGAUGCAGCACCAUCGCAAUCGGCGCGUUUUUCUGCUUCGCCGGGUGGUAGCGGCCUUCAAGACGGCCGGCAGGGCCGG